ensembl:lncRNA
UCACACCUCCAUGUCUUUGCAACAUGUUCAGUACAUGCUGAGAGCCUUAGCAGAGCUCAGCUGACGCCCACAGACUGCUGGCAUCCUGCAUGAAAACGGAGAGGAGGAGGAGGAAGAAGAAGGAAGCGCUCCAGAAAGGAGGAAACUUCACCGGGAAGAGUCACAGAGCUUGCAGAAAAUAUAACAGAGACAAUAAGGAGUGUUUUGUCAUGGAUCGAGGGUGGAGUGUUUUUGAGAAGGUUCCAAAGACAUGAAGAUGAAGCCCAGAUGCCUCCUCUCCAGCGUGGACAGACUUCCCACCAUCAGUGAGCUGCAGGAGAGCGACGUGGAGGACGGAGAGCCCGACUGCUCCUCACAUACCAUGGAGGAGUACGUGGACUCCAUCAAGGAGCUCUCCCAGCCGGCCCUCUACCCGCUGCACGGGCCCCUCAGGGGUCACCGCCGCUGGACGCUGCGCUCGUGCACCACCGUCACACCUGGAUUUUUAAAUUCCCCGCGGACCUCUGUGGACCUAUCGGAUGUGUCGCUGACAUUAACUGAGCAUGCGAACUGUGACACGCCAUCACGGUUUAGGCAAAACCUGCUGGACAUGCUGGUGGCCCAGUCUCCGUUUGCAGGCCUGGUGUGAGCCUCGGCGAGGGUCUGCUCCCGGCCUGGUCGUCCCUACAGCUCAACGUUUCAUGGCUCAUUUAUGUGAGAAGAAACGGAGCUCUGCGCAAGUGAUGCGGUUCCCUUUGAAGUGCUAAAUGAAGGCAACACAUGAAACAAAAGAUGAAAAGAGAAGAAUAUCAAGGGCAGAACAAACAAAUGAGCCGAGACCGCCUGAGGAGUGAGCGAGCUAUGCGGCUGCAAAGGGCCCCUCGGCCACCAGGGGGCCCUCGAAGAAACAAACUGGAUUUCUCUGGGAUUAAAAUCUCGAUUAAAUUCUUAAAUCCAAUAAAUAAUGACUAAAUAUUUGGGCCCCCGGACAUUAAUUCAAAACAUAAACUCUCCUUCAACUAUAUAUCAUAAUUUAAAUACUUAAAGAUACAGUCCCUUAUUUUUGCUAUCAGACUCCUAUGAGGGCCCCAAACUAAGGAUGAUUUCAAUGCCUAAAUAAAACAAACAAAAAAUAAGUAGUUGUCCAGGGGCCUCGGCCUCCAGGGGCCCACUGACAUGAACUGAAAAUGUGAAAUCUCUUUAAGUUCUGGGUUCUAAUAUAAAUAUCCAAAGACACAACCCAAGACUUUUAUUUCUGGUUUCUGGAAUAAAUUCUCAAACAUAAACUCCCAGAUUUUUGUCAUCAGACUCUUCUUAGGACUUCAAACAAAGAAUAAUUUAAAAUGCCCAAAUAAAAACAAGUCAAAACUAGUUUGUUAUGGGCCCCUCAGCUGCCAGGGGCCCACUGAAAAGAAGUGAAAAUGUGAGCUCUAUUUAGAUUCUAAUUUUAGCAAGUUUUCCUUCAAGACGUGUGUUUUAAGCUCUUCUGUAGGAGUUUUAAAAUGGCAAAUUAAUAACGAAGUAAACACCUCGGGCCCCUUUGACGUGAACAGAUAAUGUGAACUCACUUUGGACUAAACAUUCAUUGAUACUUGAUGUCUUUGUUUUAUUAUAAAUCUAGCAUAAAAACGAGUUUGUUAUGACAAUAAAAAGCAC